CCUACGGGUGGCAGCAGUGGGGGAUAUUGCACAAUGGACGAAACUCUGAUGCAGCGACGCCGCGUGAGGGAAUACGGUCUUCGGAUUGUUAACCUCUGUCUUUGGGGAAGAAAAUGACGGUACCAAAAGACGAAGCUCCGGCUCACUAAGUGCCAGCAGCGCCGGUAAUACGUCGGGAGCGAGCGUUGUCCGGAAUGACUGGGUGUAAAGGGAGCGUAGGCGGGCGAGAAAGUUGAAUGUUAAAUCUAUCGGCUUAACUGGGAGCUGCGUUUAAAACUGCUUGUCGUGAGUGAAGUAGAGGCAGGCGGAAUUCCUGGUGUAGCGGUGAAAGGCGUAGAUAUUAGGAGGAACACCAGUGGCGAAGGCGGCCUGCUGGGCUUUAACUGACGCUGAGGCUCGAAAGCGUGGGGAGCAAACAGGAUUAGAUACCCGGGUAGUC
rnacentral:rRNA from 1 species